UACGUAGGUGGCGAGCGUUGUCCGGAUUUACUGGGCGUAAAGCGCGCGCAGGCGGUCCGGUAAGUCUCCGGUGAAAUCGCCCGGCUCAACUGGGCGGGUGCCGGGGAGACUGGCGGACUUGAGGAGCCUAGAGGCCGGUGGAACUCCCGGUGUAGUGGUGAAAUGCGUAGAGAUCGGGAAGAACACCAGUGGCGAAAGCGGCCGGCUGGGGGUGUCCUGACGCUGAGGCGCGAGAGCGUGGGGAGCAAACCGG
rnacentral:rRNA from 1 species